rnacentral:lncRNA from 1 species
AUCACUCUCUCCUGCUGCCACGUGAAGAAGAUAUUUGCUUCCCCUUUGCCUUCCACCAUGAUUGUAAGUUUCCUGAGGCCUCCCAUUCAUGCUUCCUGUUAAGCCUGCAGAACCGUGAGUCGAUUAAAUUUCUUUUCUUCAUAAAUUACCCAGUCGCAGGUAGUUCUUUAUAGCAGUGUGAGAAUGGAUUAAUACAGACUAGUAAUAGCAAACUGCAUUGUAACUGAGACCAUCCAGUUCAACCUUAUAUUUCAGCUACUACAAGUCCUGAUUGAUGAUCCAACCAACCUAAUUUUUAUAGUCAAGACACUCAUAAGCACCUGCCAUAGAUUUAGCAUCAAAACUGUCAGUUUUCUAGAUUUUCCUUUCCGAAGCAUCCUAGGCUCUUGAACAUAGUAGUAAAAGGAAAAGUCACGGCUCUUUCCUGCUGUGUGUGUCAAACCUUCCUUGCUGGCAUCCGUUCUGGUUGGUGAGAGGCAGUUUAGACUAGACAUUGUCUGAAGUUUGGAGUUGUUAAAAGGGGCUAUUUGGGAGGUAUCUUGAAAAUACUUAAUGCUUCUCUUUGCUUGCACCAAGGCAAAGAAAUAAACCUUUUAGAAUUCACAAAGGGAGGAAAGAAGAACAAAAGGGCAAUCAUCAGAGGCAGUGGUUUGGAUGAUAAGCAAGUCUGUUGUUUUCAUGUCACUUCUGUUGUUCCUGUGCUGGAUGUCUUCCAAUUGCACACUCCUCCCUUAUCUACCCUGCUUUCUGUCUAGAGAGGCUGACCUGUUUUAAAUUAAAUCAAUGGUUUUCCAAAUGUGGCCCCUGGAUAAUCAGUAUCACCUGGGGACUUGCUGGAAGUGCACAUUUUCAGGCCCCAUCCCAGACCUCUUGAAUCAUAAACUCUGGGGGUGGGACCCAGGAAUCUGUGCUUCGACAAACUGGCCAAGUGAUUCUGAAGCAUUCUAACCUUUGAGAAUCACUAGAUUACAAAAUUAAGCUCCUUUGUGGCCUCUAGUU